CGCGGUUUCCUCGCAAGGGGAAACUGAGUGGCGAACGGCUGAGUAACGCGUAGGUGACCUGCCCUGAAGUGGGGGAUAACGGCCCGAAAGGGUUGCUAAUACCGCAUGUGGCGACGCUUUCAUUGGCGUCAUCAAAGCCGCGAGGCGCUUCAGGAGGGGCCUGCGUCCGAUUAGCUCGUUGGUGGGGUAAUGGCUCACCAAGGCGACGAUCGGUAGGUGGUCUGAGAGGACGAUCACCCAGACUGGGACUGAGACACGGCCCAGACUCCUACGGGAGGCAGCAGUCGGGAAUUUUGCUCAAUGGGCGCAAGCCUGAAGCAGCAACGCCGCGUGAGGGAUGAAGGCCUUCGGGUUGUAAACCUCUUUUACCAGGGACGAUGAUGACGGUACCUGGUGAAUAAGUCACGGCUAACUACGUGCCAGCAGCCGCGGUAAUACGUAGGUGACCAGCGUCGUCCGGAUUUACUGGGCGUAAAGAGCGCGCAGGCGGUCGUUCAAGUCGAGUGUGAAAGCCCCCGGCUCAACUGGGGAGGGUCAUUCGAUACUGAUCGACUCGAAGGCAGGAGAGGGAAGCGGAAUUCCCGGUGUAGUGGUGAAAUGCGUAGAUAUCGGGAGGAACACCAGUGGCGAAGGCGGCUUCCUGG
rnacentral:rRNA from 1 species